CUUAAGCAUGGAACGGUCAUCCGCCUCUUUUUAAACUAAACUGUAUAGAGAGAGAGGGUGGGGAAGAUUGAAAGAAAUAGGGCAUGGAAACGACGAUAGGUCAACAAGUAAAUAAUGCUAUCUCACUCCGUCUCUAUCUCCCUCUCGUCAUCUCUAUCUCUCCCUCUUAUCCUCUUCCCCUUAAGCUUUGACUUAUGGAGGUUGGUUCUAUUGGAGAACAAGGUAUAUAGUGAAGUGCAGUUGAAGGAGUGCUUGGACGAGUAUGCAUCGCUUGAAUUUGUGGAUACACCUGUAGUUUGAAAUUAUCUCGUCAUCUUUAUAAAUUUCAAAUCUAGCAAUGCAAGGCAUAGACGGUGCCGAAGGACUAGAGGCCCAAUCUAGCUUGUCUAGGGAUCAAGGAGCGGGAAUCUUCAAAAUCGAUUGCACGUUGUUGAAGGCCUUCAUAAAAACAUGGUGUUCACAAACAAAUAGCUUCCGCCUAAACGUUGGGGACAUGGGUCCAACUUUAUAUGAUGUAUCGCGGAUAUUGCAUUACCUCUUACAAGCAAACCCGUUGCGGGUAUCAGGCCAAAAACUUAUAGGGAGCUCAUUAAAAGGUAUCUGGGCGAUUGCCCCAAAGAGGAAAAAUUGAUGUGGAUUAGCCAUACUGGGUUGAGGACAAGGUAUGGGCAAUUAUUUAAAAGGCAAGUUGCAACGUGUGGAAGACACACGUACCUAUCUCUUUUACUUGGUUGGCACAAUCAUAUUUGCCAACUCAUCUAAAAGAACAACUCUUGCAAUUUACCUCCAGUUGUUUGACGACUUCGAUAAAGCAGGGAAUUGCUCAUGGGUGGUUGGGUGGUUGUAGCCCUUGCCUUCUUAUAUCGGUAAUUGCGUGGUUGGGUGGUUGUAGCCCUUGCCUUCUUAUAUCGGUAAUUGGAAGCAAGUUCAUGAAUUGUAGCCCUUCUCUUCUUAUAUCGGUAAUUGUAAGCAAGUUCAUGAUGCCUUCUUAUAUCGAUAAUUGGAAGCAAGUUCAUGAAUUGUAGCCCUUCUCUUCUUAUAUCGGUAAUUGUAAGCAAGUUCAUGAACUGUAAUUGAAAGUUCCUGAAGAACUCUAAAUUAGAAGUUACUUAAGAAAUUCUUGGU